AAGCAACACUCUGUGGCUGAUGAACAAAACUGUCUGACACAAUUUGAGCUUGCUAUAGCAAGAAAGUGUAACCUAUUCCGGUGUUCUCUUCUUUACGAGACAAGCCGUUGUAUAGGCUCAAACAGU